rnacentral:lncRNA from 1 species
AAACCAGAGGCAAUAAGUAUAGCAUUCUAUUCUCUUUAGUGUCUUGGAAUCUUCAACAAAAGUUUGCCUUAUUUUGGCUAAGUAGAGAAAAUUUAUGAGCCAAGCGGGCAAUGGACAGCUGUCUAUGUAUUGUGAUUCAAUAGAAGGCUGGGCUGGGGCUCCGCCUCUAAAGUUAUAAUAUUUGCCUUCUUACUAUGGCAUCAUCUUUCUAUUGGGUUUUGGCUAGUGCACUCAAAUUGAGAACACAGCUUCACAGGCAGAACACAACACACAGAUGCAAGGUCUCCUGAUGGCAGAAAACCUUAUAACGCAGAGACGGGGUUACUCCGUGUUAGCCAGGAUGGUCUCGAUCUCCUGACCUCGUGAUCCACCUGCCUUGGCCUCCCAAAGUGCUGGGAUUCUGUAAUCCCAGUGAGCCACCGCGCCUGGCCCAUGAAUCAACCUCAGCUGCCAACGCCAGAAUCAACCUCAGCUGCCAAAUGCUAGACUGAAAAAAGAAUGUAAACAGCUUGAUGGAGGGGAGGAUCCUGGUGCACCUGUGGUUUUGACAGCUUUUGCUGCUGCUUGAGGAGGAAACAGGUUGCCUGUUUGUUCUUCAAGAGCACUUCUGGCAUCCAGGUAUUAUGCAGGCAUGCACUGCCAGCUGUGAAAGAUGCCGCUUCCUUGUCACUUCAGAGAAUGAUGCUUCUACAGAAGAUCCCUCUUGCUAUUUCAUUCAGGGAGCUCGGGAGAGGAAGACAAAAAGAAUCAAAUGCAAAGCACAGAUCAUUGAAAGGGCCAGGGUCUGAAGUGAGACAACUCGUGUCACAGUGUUUUCAAACUUGAGAAUGGAAGAGAAGAAAGGAAAUUUGGUUUGAUGUUAUCAGUUUUGAUUUGCUAACCCAAAAGGUCCAGAAUAAAGAACAAAUCAUUAUAAACAGAUGCUUCAGGUGACUACAGCCAGCUCCAGAGGGUUCCAAAGAUCUUAAAGAUGUCCCAGAAAAGUUCUAGAGUACUAUCAGAUCUCACACUUUGCCUUGGAAGCUGUCAUUCCCCUCCAUUGGCCCCACAACUGCAGUAUAAUCUUCAGUGACAGGAGAAAAUCGACCUUGUUUGUACAGAAGUCUCAGCAGGAAUAGGCAGAUGCCUGUUUUUGCUGCCAAGGAUGGAGGAUUGGAAUGGGCCCAUUAUAUAUUUUGAGGCUUUGAAGAAAAGUCUCAGGAUAUGUUUUCCCAUUAAAAUACUGUUAUAAACAAUUAGAUUUAUAGGUUGUUUAAAAUCUCAUUUCAGCCAAUUGUAGUUUUAAAAGUCAUUUGUAAUAGGCACGU